GACUUCACGAGCGUGAAGAAGAGGUUUCAGGAGCGUGGAGAAGAGGUUUCAGGAGCGUGGAGAAGAGGUUUCACAAGCGUGGAAAAGAGGUUUCAGGAGCGUGGAGAAGAGGUUUCACGAGCGUGGAGAAGAGGUUUCAGGAGCGUGGAGAAGAGGUUUCAGGAGCGUGGAGAAGAGGUUUCAGGAGCGUGGAGAAGAGGUUUCACGAGCGUGGAGAAGAGCUUUCAGGAGCGUGGAGAAGAGCUUUCACAAGCAUGGAGAAGAGGUUUCACGAGCGUGGAGAAGAGGUUUCAGGAGCGUGGAGAAGAGGUUUCACGAGCGUGCAGGAGUGGAGGAGCGGGUUUGGAGACUGUCUGCUGCUGGUUGGAGCUUCAAAGCUUAUUUCUGACUUUAAAUCAGCGACUUCAGUUUUGUUCUCAUACUCUGAAGCUUAUAGGAAAACCACAGCAGGUCUUCCAUGUUUGCUUUUUCCCCAAAACGUUGCAGGCCAACGACCAAAACUCAAACACAGCCGACUCUCCGAGUGCCGUCUGUAACCCUCGCACUCGUGGAACUUGGAACAGGCUCAGCGUGAGUCUCAUUACGCUGAGUACCGAGGUGUUUACACAGCACAAACAUUCGCCCUCCGCCUCCAUCACUCAUCCCUGCGCCUCUGGGUUAGUCUCACUGCGGAGCCCAGGAUGGGAUAGAUUUUCAGAUUGUUCGUCUACUUUCUAAUAACAAAGCAAACUCUUCCUCCCUGACGCAGGAGUCAGUCAUCAUGUGGAGGAGCCGAAACAUGACGAAAAGAAAAUAUCCUGUCAGCAGAUGUUCAGCCUUCCAAACAGACUGUUAUGACUUCAGCACAACUUUCUGUACCAGCUUUUGUUUUACUCCAAGACUUACUGUUACAGAAAUUUCUAUAUAAAUAAUCCUGUCCUGUGUUGGUCCUGGACUGCAAGGAUCUGCGCCUUUGAGGAAAAAUGUGACCCCUACCACAUACUCAAAAAAUCCCCAACAUUUGCCCGCACCAAGUACCUGCUGAAAAUGCAUUUUGGGCACAGUAAACAUCCUUCUCCAAGAAAUGAUGAUGUCACAGCGGGCAAAACCAAAAACAAAUGACUGGGGCCAAAUCUGUUAUGGGGCUCAAAAAAUAUUUCAGAAUCUACUAAUGAAACUAAAAUGGAGAUGUUUGUGGCUCAUAAUUCAAAACAAAAGUCAAAACUAAAAUGCUUUUCAUUUUCACAGUCUACCUGCAUUACUUGUCUCCUUGGAACUGCUAAGUUGAACUGAUUUAUCAGAAACCUUUUGCGUGGCGAGAUGUGAGAACCAAAAAGCAGUCUUCAUUGGCUUUGUCACUUUAGUUAUGUCCCAGAAUGAGCGCUAAAGAUAAAGGAAAUGAAAAAGCCGUUCGGAAAAUGGCUUUUUCAUUUCUUUAGGAAGUAAUGCAGGUACAUUGUGAAAACGAAAAAGCAUUUCUGUUUAUGCAUUUUUAUUUUUUUAAUUUGAUAUUUCUAAUUGAAUUUUGGUACACAUCUACUAGAGAACUUUUUGAAAAUGAAAUUUCAAUGCCAUUUUCUUUAUCACUUUAAUGAAGCUACUGAAUGCGUGGUGUUGAAGAUGAAAAUGAAAAAAGCAGUUUGGAGAAUUACUUUUUCUUUUCAUUUAGGAGACAAGUAAUUCAGGACCAUUUUGAAAAUGAAAGCUGCAAUUUAAAAACCUUUUUUUUCAUGAAUUUGUCCCAUGCAGCUGUGAUCAAAGUGGCAGGUGCAGAGGAGGCGUGUAGCACCUGCAGGUCAUUUAGUCAAGCUCAUUGCUCUCAGCUGUAUGUCUACUUUAAACGGCCCGUCUUUGUGCUCUGACUGCUCUCCACACAGGAAUAAUACAUGUUUGGAUCCAUGGACACAAGAAGAAAAAGAAGUGACUGAAGUGCAAAGAUACGAACUUGUUUUAAUAACUUAACAAAUAUUCUUGUGCCUUUGAACAGAAAAUGACAUGAAGAAAAAUUAUAAAUAAAUACCCAAAUAUACAACAUGUAACAGCUUUGCGGUGAAAACUUUUAACCUGUGGUUAAUGUUAACUGUAAUGAACUGCAGUCUGACGACGACUAAAGGAGAAAUGCUGCAGCAGAACAGAAACUCCUCGUCUGCAGGAAGAAUCAAAACACUGUUUUUGUUUGUGAACUCUUGCGUGUUUGUGUCUCAGGCUUCAGUCAGACAGCUCUUGACCUUCACGAUCAGCUCCUCCUUCCUCAGUUUGGUGGAGACAGGAACCCCUCUCUGUUUCAGCCACCGCAGCAGAGCCGCACAGCUCAGCUUGGAGAGCUGGAACAGAGACGGGGAGGAAACGUCAGAAGAAAGCAAAAAUUGAACUCUAUUCUUUUUGGGAUAAAAAAGUUCAGAUGUGGUUCUUAGAAAUAAACCUGUGUGACAACGAGACAGUAAACCAACUUCCAGUCUGAAUGAUGUGUUAAUGAUCCCUCAUUAUGACUGUUGAAGGUGAAUAAAGCAAAGAUUUAAGUGGAAACCUGAUGCUGGAUUCUCUGCACUGUUCAUCAGCACACCACUCAUCACACUCAAAUGAAACAUGAUCUCUGAAUGAUGUUGGUCUUCAGUUUUACACUAGAUCUUCUUGAAAUUCCUAUGGUUUACCUUCAUGAAUGAACAACAUAAAAGCUGAACAGGUCUUUCCAGCAGUCUUUGAAAUCUAGAAACAUUAGGAGUGUAAAAUAAAACCUUUCGGACUAAUACGGGUUACAGAGCUGGUUUCUUUCAGUUCUGAGUUGUUUCAUCAGUUACUAACAUUUCCAGACUGUCCGAACCAGCGAGGCCUUCCUUCUCUGCAGACUAAAAUGGAUCCACAAAAGUACCUUAACAGCUCUUUUCUUUAGAAAUAUGUAUGCUAAAUGACUUUAUCAAUUAAAAAAAUACAUUCUUCAUAUCCUAUUAUAUGAAGCUGGUGGCUGACAGUGAUGUACAUCAUGGUAGAUAAAACUCCUGUUCUUCCAUAUGUCUCCUUUUGUCCAGGGUUUCUGUUCAGCUCUGUAUCUUGGGAUCAGAAUGAGAAAAAGAAGAAGAGCAGACAGACAGCUGAUAGCAUUAUCAUCUGAUGUCAUCAGGAAAUCAGCAGCUAACGGAAGUGAAGCCAUCAUAAGAACUGAACACCAAGGCCGUUUGAUGACACCAACGAGAGAGAGGAGGAUGGAUUUGAAUUUCAAAAUGAGGCGCUGGAAAAGAACUGUGUUGCAGAGCGCCCCCUGCAGGAAGACGGGUCAGGGUUUUUUCCUCUUACCUGGUUGCUCCUGGCCAUCUUCUCCACCUCCAUGUGUUGGAGUGCAGCUGCGUUUUUCUUGGCUGUGACUCCCUGAAACACCAGAUCACGUCU